rnacentral:rRNA from 1 species
UUAAGAUCCUUAAAUUCAAAGAAUUUGGCGGUAAUUAAGUCUUUUUAGAGGAACCUGUUCUUUAAUUGAUAAUCCACGAUUGAUUUUACUUUAAUUUUUAUUUGUAUACCUCUGUCAAUGAAUGUAUUUUAAGAUUAAUUUUCUUUUUUUUUGUGAAUGAAUGUUAGGUCAAGGUGCAGUUUUAUUAAAGUAGAAAUGGGUUACAAUAAUUUUUUUUGGAUUAUUUUAUGUAAUUUAAAGUUUGAAAUAGGAUUUAAUAGUAAUUUUUCUUAAAUUAGGAAUUUUGAUUUUAGCUCUUAAUUAU